AUUGAACGCUGGCGGCAGGCCUAACACAUGCAAGUCGAACGGUAACAGGACUAGCUUGCUAGUUGCUGACGAGUGGCGGACGGGUGAGUAACGCGUGGGAAUCUACCGAGUAGUGGGGGACAACAGUUGGAAACGGCUGCUAAUACCGCAUACGUCUUACGGGAGAAAGAGGGGGAUCUUCGGACCUCUCGCUAUUUGAUGAGCCCGCGUUGGAUUAGCUAGAUGGUGGGGUAAAGGCCUACCAUGGUGACGAUCCAUAGCUGGUCUGAGAGGACGAUCAGCCACACUGGGACUGAGACACGGCCCAG
rnacentral:rRNA from 1 species